GAUGAACGCUAGCGGCAGGCUUAAUACAUGCAAGUCGAGGGGUAGCAAGAUUGUAGCAAUACAAUUGUUGACGACCGGCAAACGGGUGCGGAACACGUACACAACCUUCCUACAAGUGGGGAAUAGCCCAGAGAAAUUUGGAUUAAUACCCCGUAACAUAGCGAUGUGGCAUCACAUUGCUAUUAUAGCUUCGGCGCUUGUUGAUGGGUGUGCGGCUGAUUAGAUAGUUGGCGGGGUAACGGCCACCAAGUCUACGAUCAGUAGCUGAUGUGAGAGCAUGAUCAGCCACACGGGAACUGAGACACGGGCCCGACUCCUACGGGAGGCAGCAGUAAGGAAUAUUGGACAACGGACGCAAGUCUGAUCCAGCCAUGCCGCGUGAAGGAUUAAGGUCCUCUGGAUUGUAAACUUCUUUUAUAAGGGACGAAAAAAGGUCUUUCUAGAUCGUCUGACGGUACCUUAUGAAUAAGCACCGGCUAACUCCGUGCCAGCCGCCGCGGUAACAC
rnacentral:rRNA from 1 species